rnacentral:misc_RNA from 1 species
GAUGAAGAACGUAGUGAAAUGCGAUAAGUAAUGUGAAUUGCAGAAUUCAGUGAAUCAUCGAAUCUUUGAACGCACAUUGCGCCCCCUGGUAUUCCGGGGGCAUGCCUGUUCGAGCGUCAUUUCACCACUCAAGCCUCGCUUGGUAUUGGGCAACGCGGUCCGCCGCGUGCCUCAAAUCGACCGGCUGGGUCUUCUGUCCCCUAAGCGUUGUGGAAACUAUUCGCUAAAGGGUGUUCGGGAGGCUACGCCGUAAAACAACCCCAUUUCUAAGGUUGACCUCGGAUCAGGUAGGGAUACCCGCUGAACUUAAGCAUAUCAAUAAGCGGAGGA